UUUUUAAAUUUUUUUCAAAAAUUUAGUUGAUAAGAUAGUACUUUAUUGUGUUGUUAAUUUCCACUCUUUUCUUUUUGUGAGCCUUUUUAUCUUUUUUUAUAUAUAAUUAGGUAGUUACAUUUUUUUUACUUUUCUUUUUUUUUUCAUAUCCUACCCAAUUGCCAUAUAUAAUAGAGAUACAUCUGAAAGCCAAAUACAAAGCUGAAUUUGAGCACAAAAUCUCGUAUAGUAAAAUAUGAUAUCGUCACUAUUAUAUUAAGCAAACGUCCCAAUAAUACAACAAUGUGACACCAACGAAUAAUAAAUAAAUCUCUAUUAUAGUGUCAUUCAACAGAAAAGCUAUAAACAACAUAAAAGGAUCGGAUGACUGCUAAUAAUAUAACAUAAGAUUAAUAAGAGACGUAUCAAAUCACAACUUGUCCUCGUAAAAAAAAAAAACAACUUGUUGAAAUAAUUGCUAUAGGUUAUAGCCUAUAUGAGAAAAUUACAUAUAAAGUUUUGUUACAACUUUAAUGAAAUUUCUUGGCUGCAAAUAGAUUUUAAGCGAUCUGGUAAGACUUCAAAAUGGGUCAAAUGUAUUACUCAAAGUUUCAAGCAUCUCGCUAGCUCUUUCUACACAUCUUCUUGCGCCCCUUCUCUGUAAACUGCUAAACCUCCGCCCGACGCCCAAACUUCCCCGCCAUCUACCACCACUCCACCACCAAACACUCCCUUCCACCGCCAUUUUUAUUCUUUUUGUAUCUUCCACUCUGUUUAUUCGUUUGGUGGAUUAAACCCCAGAUAGAAGUAAAAGUGGAGGAAGAAAAAAUUGGAGGAAAGGAAAUUUUAGAUUGCAAUUAAGGAGUUUCAAAGAGGACGAAGCGGAGACAAUGUGAUAAUAGGAAAGAGAAAAUGAGGAACUGGAGAAGUGUUUUUCAGUUAGUUUUUUCCUUGUUAUUAGGGAUUGAGUUGUGCAGUUACUGUAUCCUUGUGUGCACGUUGUACAUACAAUUUCUUUUUCUGAAUAAGUUAGUUUCCUUUAACGUUUUC